GAUGAACGCUGGCGGCGUGCCUAAUACAUGCAAGUCGAACGCACAGCGAAAGGUGCUUGCACCUUUCAAGUGAGUGGCGAACGGGUGAGUAACACGUGGAUAACCUACCUCAAGGUUGAGGAUAACAUUUGGAAACAGAUGCUAAUACCGAAUAAAACUUAGUAUCGCAUGAUACCAGGUUAAAAGGCGCUACGGCGUCACCUAGAGAUGGAUCCGCGGUGCAUUAGUUAGUUGGUGGGUAAAGGCUUACCAAGACAAUGAUGCAUAGCCGAGUUGAGAGACUGAUCGGCCACAUUGGGACUGAGACACGGCCCAAACUCCUACGGAGGCUGCAGUAGAGAAUCUUCACAAUGGGCGAAAGCCUGAUGGAGCAACG
rnacentral:rRNA from 1 species